GCUGGGUGUGGUGGCAGGCGCCUGUAAUCCCAGCUACUUGGGAAGCUGAGGCAGGAGAAUUGCUUGAACCCAGGAGGUGGAGGUUGCAGUGAGCUGAGAUUGUGCAAUUGCACUCCAGCCUGGGUGACAGAGCGAGACUCCGUUUUAAAAAAAAAAAAAAAGGAAGCAUAACUGGGAGAGGAGCUUUUUUUGGGGGGGAGGGAGGGCGGGUGUGGGGAUGGAGUCUUGCUCUGUCGCCCAGGCUGGAGUGCAGUGGCACAAUCUUGGCUCACUGCAAGCUCCGCCUCCCUGGCUCAAGGGAUUCCCCCGCCUCAG
rnacentral:SRP_RNA from 1 species